UAACACAUGCAAGUCGAACGAAGUAGCAAUACUUAGUGGCAGACGGGUGAGUAACAUGUAGGUAUCUACCCUUUGGCCUGGAAUAACACGAGGAAACUUGUGCUAAUACCGGAUAAGUCUUUACGGAGAAAGCUUUAUGCACCAUUGGAUGAGCCUGCACUUGAUUAGUUUGUUGGUGGGGUAAUGGCCUACCAAGACUGUGAUCAAUAGCUGAUUUGAGAGGAUGAUCAGCCACAUUGGGACUGAGACACGGCCCAAACUCCUACGGGAGGCAGCAGUGGGGAAUCUUGCACAAUGGAGGAAACUCUGAUGCAGCGAUGCCGCGUGAGUGAAGAAGGCCUUUGGGUUGUAAAGCUCUUUCGUCGGGGAAGAAAAUGACUGUACCCGAAUAAGAAGGUCCGGCUAACUUCGUGCCAGCAGCCGCGGUAAUACGAAGGGACCUAGCGUAGUUCGGAAUUACUGGGCUUAAAGAGUUCGUAGGUGGUUGAAAAAGUUAGUGGUGAAAUCCCAGAGCUUAACUCUGGAACUGCCAUUAAAACUUUUCAGCUAGAGUAUGAUAGAGGAAAGCAGAAUUUCUAGUGUAGAGGUGAAAUUCGUAGAUAUUAGAAAGAAUACCAAUUGCGAAGGCAGCUUUCUGGAUCAUUACUGACACUGAGGAACGAAAGCAUGGGUAGCGAAGAGGAUUAGAUACCCUCGUAGUCCAUGCCGUAAACGAUGUGUGUUAGACGU
rnacentral:rRNA from 1 species